rnacentral:rRNA from 1 species
CAGCAGCCGCGGUAAUACAGAGGGUGCGAGCGUUAAUCGGAUUUACUGGGCGUAAAGCGUGCGUAGGCGGCUUUUUAAGUCGGAUGUGAAAUCCCCGAGCUUAACUUGGGAAUUGCAUUCGAUACUGGUUAGCUAGAGUGUGGGAGAGGAUGGUAGAAUUCCAGGUGUAGCGGUGAAAUGCGUAGAGAUCUGGAGGAAUACCGAUGGCGAAGGCAGCCAUCUGGCCUAACACUGACGCUGAGGUACGAAAGCAUGGGGAGCAAACAGGAUUAGAUACCCGGGUAGUCCCUGUCUCUUAUAC